UUGCGUGUGGUACUGUAAGGAAGUUUUACGAGUGUUCACUGGCCCGUAGCAACCAUGGAGUUGCGUCAUGGUUUCUGCUUUUCAAGUGCUUUCUUCGUUGUGGGCAUACUCUGGACCGUACAGGCAGAAAACCAACCAGCAAGUAAUUUUGUGUGUCUGGGUAUCUCCAAAAGCGAAGCCGAAUUGAGAAAGGCUCCAAGUGAGACAUCGAUCAUUCUAAAUUGGACGGAUAGUUCCGGCCAUUCUUCUGAAUUGACUGCGGUGAACUUGCAAAUCUUUCCGGAUGGAGAACUACUACGGGGUGUUCCAGAACGAGAAAAUUCAUUCAUCAAAAUUCCACACCAUUGUCUGAAACGACAAUCGGAUGAAGCGAACCUGUUCUCAAUCAAUUUGCCUGCCUGCCAUACCUGUCCAGUCAAGUGGAAAUCGUUAGACGCGUGUAGAAAGUAUAUGUUCGAGAUAAAAUCAGAGUAUUCAAAUGCAUCUAUCGGUGCAGAACCUUUCAAGUUGGAAACUUUCACAUCUCAACGAGGAAUCAGCCCCAAAACUUCGUUUGAAGGCUUGUGGCGCUGUUCGUCUCAAAAGUUCUUCUGUCGAGGAAUUAUCGAUCAAUUCGAUCCUUACGCUUCCGCCUUUGGUGCUACAAAAACCAGCGGAUGUCUUGAUAACGAUAAAAUUUGCAACAGAGAAAAAGAUUGCGAAUCGGGAGUGGAUGAGCUGCAUUGUGCCAAAAGUCGGCAGUUUUGGUUUAUCGGAAAUCAACCACCACCAUGCAAUGAUGGAUUCCAGUGCGGUCGGCAAUGUAUUCCUAACGAACUUGUCUGUGAUGGCAAAUACGAUUGCCUUGACGGUUCUGAUGAACACUACGACUGUGAGUAUUCCGUGUCUUGUAAUCAGCUAACGACAAGCUUUGGCCAUAUCGUUUCGGCACCGAUAACAAAACCGGAUGAAGAUAUUCACAAAAAUAAUCUGAUGCACCUGGUGCAGAAAUCUAUUAUUGCGAUUACUGUACAAGCAAACCAUACCAUUUGGCUCGCAUUCAAUAAAUUCCGCACCAAAGAGAACCACUUUUUGAAGGUUUAUGAUGGACCAUAUUCAACAAGCCCGCUCCUCUUGUCUCAUAGCGGUUCAACUAAACCAAUUUCAGUUCGAUCGUCGUCAAAUAAUUUGUACGUAGAGUUUCCAUCCUAUUACGACCAAAGCUAUGGAGUGGACAUUUUCUACGCAAGUGUAUUUGAUAAAGAACAACCAUUUAUUCCCGGUUGCGGAGGUUACAUCCAUGGUGAUGGUAUCAUUUCGUCAUGGAGUUACAGUUCCCUAACCAACCCUGUUUCUGACUGCAUUUGGUUUGUGGAGGCUGCGCAACACGAUGGAAUAAUUGUACUAAAAGAAAAGUUCGAUAGCAAGAGGAAUACAUCAACUUAUAAGUUUGCGACUUUGGCCAACAACCCCAUCAUGACUGUGUAUGAUGGUUGGAACACAUCGGGUCGAGUACUUUGGGACGAUAAAGGCCUUUUAGCUCGUUCAUCACGAGUCAUUUAUUCAAUCAGUCCAAAAAUGAUGAUACGGAUGAACUGGCCGGAACAAGGCGAACACAGGAAUACUUUCAAUUGGCACGUCAACACCAUAAAACUCACAAUUACCAACAUUGAUGGCCUUACUGCAACAUCAGGAACGAUUAAAAGUCCUAAUUACCCAGCCCCAUACCCAAAUUUAGCCGAUUUUCGUUGGAAUAUCGUCACUGCACCGCAUACGAAGAUUAACCUUCUGUUCGCAUUGCUGGAAACACAGGAGGGGUUUGAUUUCCUAUAUGUGUACGACGGACCUACGGUAAAUUCUCCGCUGCUCUUGGAGAAAUCAGGAUCAGCAAGUUUGCCUUUUGCAGUCAACUCGUCCACAAAUCAAAUGCUUGUUAGAUUGACAUCAGACGACGAGACCACCUCUACCGGAUUUCUAGCUAUCUACUCAAUCGUUUGAGACUAUUCACUUUGCUAGGAUACGACUGAGAAAAUACCCCAUGCAAGUAGCCCAAAUAGUAUUUCAGUCACGACAACAAACCCUCAUUUGGUUUUAACACACGGAACAGGGAGACGCAUCCUCCGUUGUUGCUGGCAGUUCAGUUGUUUCAGCUUCCGGUAUCUCAGCAUUUGAUAUAUUGAUGGUGGCGACAGAGUUAGGGAUAGAACCACUGCCAGAAUGUGACAUACCGCUUUGUUGAAUGUUAAUUCCGAUAUUGCCUUGUCCAGCUGCGUUGGGAAAUAAACCAGGUCUGGCUAUUUGUA